GAAGCUGGCUAGACAGUCGCCGCCUAGCAAUAGGGGGAGGAAAGUCCGGGCUGCAUAGAGCGGGAUGACGGUUAACGGCCGUCCGCCGAAAGCCGCAAGGUAUAAGGCGAGGAAUAGGGCCACAGAGACGAGCGUAUUAAGUUACGGUGAAACGCGGUAACCUCCAUUCGCAGCAAGACCAAAUAGGCUGGCAUUGGCGUGGCUCGCGUCGCCAGCGGGUAGGUUGCUUGAGCGCAUGAGUAAUUGUGCGCCUAGAUGAAUGACUGUCAUGCGUUGCAAGACGCAAACAGAACCCGGCUUAUCGGCCAGCUUCAAUC
rnacentral:RNase_P_RNA from 1 species